ACAGUUGUUGGCCUUCUUCAAAGACGUUAAUUCUUUUGAGGCUUUGGUCUCUAAUAUUUCCCUACUCUGACUUCCGUCACGCGGUCAUGACUCCAGCUAUACUGCUGAUGUGUGAAUAUCUUAUGCGUUGCCCCAUUGUGUCUGGUCGUGACAUUGCAGUUGGCUCUUUCAUUUGCUCAAUGCUUUUCUCUGUUGCUAAACAAUCUAAGAAGUUCUGUCCUGAAGCAAUUGGGUUUCUCUGAAUGCUGCUGAUGGCAGCAAAAGAUGAAAAACCAAUGUCAAAUCAAAAUACUCAAUACUAUUAUCUUAUGGAGAUAAAGGAGCUCAAGCCCCUGCUUUCUACACGUGGACAUGUAAAUGAGACCAAUCCAUUGAAUUUCUUCACUAUAUUG